AUGCUGUUAGUCUAGCGGUAUGAUUCUCGCUUUGGGUUUCUGUUUCUGAGCGUGUGUUAUCAUGUUUUAGACACACAAACAUAAACACUCAUGCGAGAGGUCCCGGGUUCAAUCCCCGGACAGCCCC